GGCCCGUUCGUCUAGUGGACCAGGACGCUGGCCUCUCAAGCCGGAAACAGGGGUUCGAAUCCCCUACGGGCCA
rnacentral:tRNA from 2 species